AACGAACGCUGGCGGCAGGCUUAACACAUGCAAGUCGAGCGCCCGCAAGGGAGCGGCAGACGGGUGAGUAACGCGUGGGAAUCUACCCAGUUCUACGGAAUAACCCAGGGAAACUUGGACUAAUACCGUAUACGCCCUACGGGGGAAAGAUUUAUCGGGAUUGGAUGAGCCCGCGUUGGAUUAGCUAGUUGGUGAGGUAAUGGCUCACCAAGGCGACGAUCCAUAGCUGGUCUGAGAGGAUGAUCAGCCACACUGGGACUGAGACACGGCCCAGACUCCUACGGGAGGCAGCAGUGGGGAAUAUUGGACAAUGGGCGCAAGCCUGAUCCAGCCAUGCCGCGUGAGUGAUGAAGGCCUUAGGGUUGUAAAGCUCUUUCAGUGGGGAAGAUAAUGACGGUACCCACAGAAGAAGCCCCGGCUAACUUCGUGCCAGCCGCCGCCGUAAAAC
rnacentral:rRNA from 1 species